GAUGAACGCUGGCGGCGUGCUUAACACAUGCAAGUCGAACGGAAAGGCCCCUGCUUGCAGGGGUACUCGAGUGGCGAACGGGUGAGUAACACGUGGGUGAUCUGCCCUGCACUUCGGGAUAAGCCUGGGAAACUGGGUCUAAUACCGGAUAGGACCACAUUUUGGAUGGUGUGGUGGAAAGAUUUUCGGUGUGGGAUGAGCUCGCGGCCUAUCAGCUUGUUGGUGGGGUAAUGGCCUACCAAGGCGUCGACGGGGAGCCGGCCUGAGAGGGUGUACGGCCACAUUGUGAGUGAGAGACGGGCCAGACUCCUACGGGGGGCAGCAGUGGGGAAUAUUGUACAAUGGGGGCAAGACUGAGGCAGCGACGCCGCGUGGGGGAUGACGGCCUUCGGGUUGUAAACACCUUUCGCUAGGGACGAAGCGUUUUUGUGACGGUACCUGGAGAAGAAGCACCGGCUAACUACGUG
rnacentral:rRNA from 1 species